AAUGCCGCGUGAGUGAUGAAGGCCUUCGGGUCGUAAAGCUCUGUCAGAGGGGAAGAACAUCUUGUCGGUUAAUACCCGGCAGGCUUGACGGUACCCUCAAAGGAAGCACCGGCUAACUCCGUGCCAGCACCGGCGGUGACUGAGCGGGCUGGCAAGGCGCAUA
rnacentral:rRNA from 1 species